AGUUGCAUCUUAUUGUAGGAGAAAGUAGAGUUCAAAGCGCUGAUAGUGAUUGUGAUAACUUUACGCUAUGUCUAACGUUGAUUGAUAUCACUAAGCCUUACAAGCUAGUUAAAUCUUUCAAAAAGAAAAGUACAAAGAUGAUUUCUCUGGAUUCUCUAUGUAUAUUUGCAAGUGUUUCAAGUACGUUAUGUUGCAUCAUUCUCAAAGUACCUCAGAUUGUAGCCCUUGCAAAGUCAAAAACAAUACGUGGCAUAAGUAUUUCCAGUGUUCUAUUGGAAUUUUGGCUCUGCUUAUUUAUAUAGCCAUUGGUUAAUGAGUUAUCCAAAGAAAGUCAUGCAGUGAAGGGAAGUGUAGAACACCUGAUCCUUUAAGAAAUACAUAGACUGUACAGGCCUGAAAACUGACAAGAACAUCAAAAUAUGCUUAUAUUUACUCAUAUGUAGAUUUUAUUCUGCUUCUAAUGAUUUUGCAUUACUCUAAAUCAUUUGGUGUUUCCUGGGUAAUCUAUUUUGUUUUAAUUGCUAUCAUUCAGUACUGCAUAGCUUUUGAACACUUGCCGAAGACGUUUGUGUCCGCAGUGGUGGUAUGUAUUUCACUUUGGGUUACUUAGUAGAAGCUUAUAUUUCAAUUUUCAUUGGUUACAUAAUAAUAAUUGUAUUAGUUGGAAAGUAUAUUGUGUCUUAUGUCAUAUUUAUCCUCAAAAGAAUUAUUAAAAGUUUCAAUCAAUCACUUUGCUCCAGAUUUUAAAACUUUUUAUCUUUUACUGUAGCUUCGUUAAAGGAUAUAACGAGAGUAGGAACAUGGAGCAUCUGACACGUACUUUCACGAGUGGUUUUGAUUUUCCAUUCUGAUGGUACACCACAUAAGUCCCAGUAUUAUUAUUCCACACCUUUGCUACAUCUGGAUCCAGUAAUGUUUGUGAUCUGAAAAAAUGUGUACCUCCAGGUUCUCCAGAACAUCUUUUAUAUUAUUCAUUCACCCUGUUGGUAGAUUUCCUCUAUAUUUUAAACUUGAUGUUGUUAAGAUUGUAUUACACAGCACGUGUAUCAGUCAUCUGUCUGUUCAAACAACCAUUUAUUUCUUAGUAUUGAGCUGUGUAUAUAUCCUAUAUUCAUUAUGAAGUCAAUUGGAGACCUGUUUUUUAUACCCUGGAUUUUAUGGUUGUAUUAUGUGGUUAAGUGUCAGGUUUCUUAAUGUUUGCUGGCUUUAAGACUUUGAAUCAGGUUUAG
rnacentral:misc_RNA from 1 species